rnacentral:rRNA from 1 species
AUUGAACGCUGGCGGCAGGCCUAACACAUGCAAGUCGAACGAGUGGCGGACGGGUGAGUAAUGUCUGGGAAACUGCACGAUGGAGGGGGAUAACUACUGGAAACGGUAGCUAAUACCGCAUACCCUCAGAUGUGCCCAGAUGGGAUUAGCUAGUGGGUGGGGUAACGGCGCACCUAGGCGACGAUCCCUAGCUGGGUUGAGAGGAUGACCAGCCACACUGGAACUGAGAAACGGUCCAGACUCCUACGGGAGGCAGCAGUGGGGAAUAUUGCACAAUGGGCGCAAGUCUGAUGCAGCCAUGCCGCGUGUGUGAAGAAGGUCUUCGGGUUGUAAAGUACUGUUAGUGAGGAGGCGUUAAUCACAGAGGAAGCACCGGCUAACUCCGUGCCAGCAGCCGCGGUAAUUC